ACUGUCCAGAUGAGAAGCUCCCAGAGAACCAUCAGGAUGAAAAUCUGAUUGAUAUUAAGGUAGAAGUUAUAGAUGAUGCAGAAGAGGAGACGGAUAUAUGGACCAAACAGCAGUAUGGACUCAUAGAAGGAAA